UACAGAGGCCUCGAGCGUUAGGCGGAAUCACUGGGCUUAAAGCGUGUGUAGGCGGAUCGUUAAGUACCUUGUGAAGUCCCACGGCUUAACCGUGGAACUGCUGGGUAUACUGGCGAUCUUGAGCCAUCUAGGGGCGAGCGGAACAAAUGGUGGAGCGGUGAAAUGCGUAGAUAUCCGGAGGAACACCGGUGGCGAAGGCGGCUUCCUGGACCGACACUGACGCUGAGGCGCGAAAGCGUGGGGAGCAAACAGG
rnacentral:rRNA from 1 species